GAUGAACGCUGGCGGCGUGCCUAAUACAUGCAAGUCGAGCGAACGGACCAGAAGCUUGCUCCCCUGAUGUUAUCGCCGGACGGGAGAGUAACUCGUGGAUAACCUACCUAUCAGACUGGGAUACUUUCGGGAGACCGGAUCUAAGACCCGAUAAUAUUUUGACCUGCAUUGUUCCAAAGUGAAAGACGGUCUUGCUGUCACUUAUAGAUGAAUCCGCGCUGCAUUAGCUAGUUGGUAAGGUAACGGAUUACCAAGGCAAGGAUGCAUAGCCGACCUGAGAGGGUGGACGGCCACACUGGAACUGAGACACGGCCGCGACUCCUACGGUAGGCAGCAGUAGGGAAUCUUCCGCGAUGGGCGAAAGCCUGACGGAGCAACGCCGCGUGAGUGAUGAAGGACUUCGGAUGGUAAAGCGAUGUUAGCAGGGAAGAACAUAUGUGUAAGUAACCGUGCAGAUAUUGACGGUACCUAAUCAGAAAGCCACGGCUAACUACGUG
rnacentral:rRNA from 1 species